AUUGAACGCUGGCGGCAUGCCUUACACAUGCAAGUCGAACGGCAGCACGGGAGCAAUCCUGGUGGCGAGUGGCGAACGGGUGAGUAAAGUAUCGGAACGUGCACAGUCGUGGGGGAUAACGUAGCGAAAGUUACGCUAAUACCGCAUACGAUCUAUGGAUGAAAGCGGGGGAUCGCAAGACCUUGUGCGAUUGGAGCGGCCGAUAUCAGAGUAGGUAGUUGGUGGGGUAAAGGCCCACCAAGCCGACGAUCUGUAGCUGGUCUGAGAGGACGACCAGCCACACGGGGACUGAGACACGGCCAAGACUCCUACGGGAGGCAGAAGUGGGGAAUUUUGGACAAGGGGCGAAAGCCUGAUCCAGCCAUGCCGCUUGCAGGAUGAAGGCCUUCGGGUUGUAAACUGCUUUUGUACGGAACGAAAAGGACUGCCCUAAUACGGUGGUCCCAUGACGGUACCGUAAGAAUAAGCACCGGCUAACUACGUGCCAGCCGCCGCAGUAAGAC
rnacentral:rRNA from 1 species